ensembl:lncRNA
CAGUGGUGGAAGCUUUCUUGCUGGAGACUUUCUUGCUGGACAUCCCUCCUUAGUGGAGGUCUUCCAAAGGCUAGAAACUGUCCAUCACACUGUAUGUGUAGUGAAGAUUCUCCUUGUAAGAAGUACGCUCAAAAAGAGUGCCCACAUCCAAGAAUUGGUGCUUAAACUCCAUAGAAAGGAGGUGCUAGCUGAAGGAGGUAUUGUGAAAGACUGCAGCCAAAGCUCCAUCUUGAUAACGUUUUUAUGGGGUGAAACUACAAAGAGUAACUCAGCAGUUGCCAGCAAGGCUAUGUUAGCAUGAGAGAAUAGCCAGAAGCAGGCAUGCCCAUCUACCUGCCCGGCUGCUCUCAGUUCCUUUGUCUCACAACUGGGCCUUGCUGCACCAAUGCCACAUUGAACUGCCAUCACCCACCACAGGUAUAGAUGGAUGUUUUGGGAUGCAGAGCCUGGCAAAGAGGACGCCAUCAUCCUGUGGAUUCAGAGAGUUGCAUCCCAGCUCAGGAUAGCUCUUGUCUCUGCUCUGCGGAAGUUUUUGGCACAAAUCCCCUGAACACAGGGAAGGAAAGCAGAAAGGAAUUGUCCCCAGUGAAGCUUGCAAGAUUCAGUCCUCCAGGAUCAAGCCCUCAAUUUGUACAUUAACAGAGUACUUCAGACUCUAGCAUAUUUAAUCUUCUGUAACUAAAAUUUUCCCAAUAGUAUCACAAAUACUUUAUGAAAAAUAAAUAUUUAGACAAGAUAAUGUAUAUUAAUGUAGAAUCUAUUUAACGUUGAUUCUUUCUUUCCAUUACAACUCAUCUAAUGCCAUGGGCUGAUUAGAUCAACUCGUAUACACAUCAGCAAGGCUUGCAACCGUCAGAUUUAUCCUUAGGGUACUAACUUCUAAAACUGUACCUUUUGGGAAUUAUGAAAUUUAAAUAAAAUGCUUUCUAUUUUCCAUUCAUCGUUCAACCUUCCAUUUCAAAAGAUAAAAUUAGCUUCAAU